rnacentral:rRNA from 1 species
UGGGGAAUUUUGGACAAUGGGGGCAACCCUGAUCCAGCCAUGCCGCGUGAGUGAAGAAGGCCUUCGGGUUGUAAAGCUCUUUCAGUUGGGAAGAAACGGUGUGCUCUAACAUAGCGCAUCAAUGACGGUACCGACAGAAGGAGCACCGGCUAACUACGUGCCAGCAGCCGCGGUAAUACGUAGGGUGCGAGCGUUAAUCGGAAUUACUGGGCGUAAAGCGUGCGCAGGCGGUUGUGUAAGACAGGUGUGAAAUCCCCGGGCUUAACCUGGGAACUGCGCUUGUGACUGCACGGCUAGAGUACGGCAGAGGGGGGUGGAAUUCCACGUGUAGCAGUGAAAUGCGUAGAGAUGUGGAGGAACACCGAUGGCGAAGGCAGCCCCCUGGGCCGAUACUGACGCUCAUGCACGAAAGCGUGGGGAGCAAACAGGAUUAGAUACCCCUGUAGUCC